rnacentral:rRNA from 1 species
UUGACUCGACGGGCAGCUUCCGGGAAACCAAAGUUUAUAGGUUCCGGGGGAAGUAUGGUUGCAAAGCUUAAACUUAAAGGAAUUGACGGAAGGGCACCACCAGGAGUGGAGCCUGCGGCUUAAUUUGACUCAACACGGGGAAACUCACCCGGCCAGGACACAAUAAGGAUUGACAGAUUGAUAGCUCUUUCUUGAUUUUGUGGGUGGUGGUGCAUGGCCGUUCUUAGUUGGUGGAGCGAUUUGUCUGGUUAAUUCCGAUAACGAACGAGACUCUAGCCUAUUAAAUAGACGAUAUAUUUUAUUCGUAUAUCGAGCUUCUUAGAGGGACGAGCAGCUUCUAGCUGCACGAGAUUGAGCAAUAACAGGUCUGUGAUGCCCUUAGAUGUCCGGGGCUGCACGCGCGCUACAAUGAAAAUAGCAGCGCGUUUCGAAAACCUUUUCUGGAAAGAAUUGGUAAACGCGAAAUAUUUUCGUGAUAGGGAUAGGGGAUUGCAAUUAUUGCCCUUGAACGAGGAAUUCCCAGUAAAUUCGAGUCAUCAGCUCGAGUUG